GACGAACGCUGGCGGCGUGCCUAAUACAUGCAAGUAGAACGCACAGUUUAUACCGUAGCUUGCUACACCAUAAACUGUGAGUUGCGAACGGGUGAGUAACGCGUAGGUAACCUGCCUGGUAGCGGGGGAUAACUAUUGGAAACGAUAGCUAAUACCGCAUAAUAUUGAUUAUUGCAUGAUAAUUGAUUGAAAGAUGCUAUUGCAUCACUACCAGAUGGACCUGCGUUGUAUUAGCUAGUAGGUGAGGUAACGGCUCACCUAGGCGACGAUACAUAGCCGACCUGAGAGGGUGAUCGGCCACACUGGGACUGAGACACGGCCCAGACUCCUACGGGAGGCAGCAGUAGGGGAUCUUCGGCAAUGGACGAAAGUCUGACCGAGCAACGCCGCGUGAGUGAAGAAGGUUUUCGGAUCGGAAAGCUCUGUUGUAAGGGAAGAACGGGUGUGAGAGUGGAAAGUUCACACUGUGACGGUAUCUUAACAGAAAGGGACGGCUAACUACGUG
rnacentral:rRNA from 1 species